rnacentral:lncRNA from 1 species
GGAAAGAAGUACAAUCCCGAUCUCGGGUAUCACUAAGUCAUGAGCAAAAUAUUACAAUUAUCUGAAAUAACCAAGACUACAUAGUCUGAGAAAAAUCCAACAAAAUACUGCAAGGAAGAUAAGGAAGGAGAAGGCGGAACUGCAGUCACCAGGCAGCUACCUCGCAAUCUCCAAGGAAGAGUCUCCAACCGGUAUGAUCAGCAACCGCUACCGUGCCCCGAGAUACCUGGAUUUGCACACAGGGGUGCGUGGGGUAACGUGAGUACACCAACUAGGUAAGUAAUAGGUCCAAACUAUGGACUAACGGUAGUGACAGACCAAACCUCAAUAGGUAGCAAUAUUUAAUUGUACAGAAAAGUAGACAUGCUUAUAGUUCAAGUAAAUUCUCAGUGUUGAUUAAACAUAGUAUGAACAAUACAGAGCAUAAAGCUCAGGAACCUCUAAGUACUAAUGCACAAAUAGCAUGAUCAAUGUUACGUAUACUACUUCUACGCACAGUGCUCAACCACUCGGUACUGUAUAUGACCCAUUUAGCCCAGGGAAGAUCCAUCACGGAAUAUAUACAACACUAACUAUAAGUCACCCAGUACUGAGGAAACAGGCCGAUCCAGCCUCAUGGAGAAGAUCCAUCUCUAUUCCGAUACUUCGGACAAGAUCCAUAUCCAAGAAAGAUCCAUCUGUCAAUAUCGUCAACUGCGCUCACUGGGGGUGUAAAGACUCCGGAGGGGCUUCUUUGAGCACAAGCACUACAUCAAUGCCAGGGAAGGCAUUAUAUAUAUCUCAUUGUGGCGUGCAACCCGAUCCCAUACUGUCAAUCAAUAUCAGCUCUCGGCCUCACUCCGUCAAUACUCUUCAGUCUCAUACACACAGGCUAAAAAUGUCAUGAUACAAGCCCGAACAAUGAUAUGGUAUGCCAAAUAGCAAUAAUCGAGACUGAGGCAUGAUAUAAUAUGCAUGAACAGAACUGAGUAUAGAAUAUAAAUGAAGCUAAUACAUGUCAGCAAGAAAUGAUCUCUCGGGCCUCAACAGUAUUGACGUGAAGCCUUAACAUGAUAAUUAGCAGGAUUUGUAGCUCAUUAACUUAAACAUAUAAUUACGACAUAGAUAUCAGAAUAAAAGAGUCACUAAGCGGUGCCAUGGAAUGAUCCAGGCCGCAUUUCUCACGGUGCACGCCCACACGCCCGUCACUUUGCAUUGCGUCACCUCAAUAACAAUUAUAGAACACCUAGUUCGGGGUUUGGAACCCUCAGAACCAAGUUUGCAAGCGUUACUUACCUCAAGCCAAGCCAAACUCUAGCCCGCGACACCUUUUCCCCUUGAUUCGGCCUCCAAAUGCCUUGAAUCUAACCAAAAUCAGAACCAUAAUGUCAAUAUAUGCUAAGGGAACAAAGUCCACGCAAAAAUGAUCAAAUUAUAUCACAAAUCCCGAAAUUGGUCAAAACCCAACCCGGCCCAUGUCUCGGAUUCCGAUAAAAUUCACAAAACUAGAAUCUUUACACUCUAACGAGUUUAUACAUACCAAAUACACCAAAAUCCAAUCACAAACGACCCCUCAAACCCUUAAAUCAAAGUCUCCAAUUCCAAGACCUAAUAUCCCAAAUUUCCUCCUUAAUUUUCCACUAAUACCAUGAUUAAAAAAGGGAAAAUGGCCAUAAACACUAAUAAUAAGGCUUAAGAAGCUUACCCAACUGAAACCCCUCGAUUUCCUUGAAAAAUCACAGCCCUAGCUCUCUUCCCAUCUUAAAAAAUGGUGAAACUUAGUAAAAAUUUGCGAAGGCAUCUAUUUAUAUGUUCUCCCCAGCGAUAUCGCACCUGCAGACCCACACCUACGGUCCUAGGUGCGCACCUACGGAAACCAUUUAUCCACCCAAAAUAGCACGUGCGCUCAAAUACCUGUACCUGCACCUUCGCAGGUGCGCUCCACACUCCGCAUCUGUGGCUCUUGUCCUUCACAGCCCUUGCCGCAUCUAUGACCCUCUCUAUGCUUAUGCGGGCCCACACCUGACAGAAAACUCAGUAGCUGAAGCUGCUCCAACAAAUUGCCAAACUUCCCGUUAAUCAUCCGAAAUUAUCCCGAGGCCCCCGGGGCCUCGACCAAAAGUACCAAACGUACGAACAAGUCAUAUACCACUAUUCAAGCUUAUACCAAUCUUCGAAACACUCAAAACAACAUCAAAACAUCAAAUCACCCUAGGAUUCAAGCCUAAGGAUUCCAAAACAUCCGAAUUCUACAAAUGAUCAAAAAGUCUAUCAAACCACCUCAGAAUAACCUGAAAUUUUGCACACACAUCCCAAAUGCCACAAAGGACCUACUCCAACUUCCAGAAUUCUAUUCCGACCCCUAUAUCAAAAUUUCCACUACCAACCGGAAAGCGCCAACAAUUUUGCCAAUUCAAGCCUAAAUCUACCACGGACCUCCAAAUUACCUUCCAAACACACUCCUAAGUCCCAAAUCCCCUCACAAAUAUAUCCGAAACAUAAAAACUGAAUUUUGAGAUCGUUUACUCACAAGUCAAUUUCCGGUUGACUUUUUCAACUAAAAGGCCAACUUAAGAGACUAAGUGUCUCAUUCCUCUACAAAACCACUCCGAACCCGAACCGAACAAUCCGAUACCAUGUAAUAUAACUGAAAAACAUAUAAAGAAGCAGAAAUGGGGGAAACAGAGCGAUAAUUCAUGAAACGACCGGCCGAGUCGUUACAAUUUCCAUGCAAUACUUGGUAAUUUUCCCCAAAUUGGGGUGUUACGCAUAACAUUAGCGCAUAGGUCAUCAUCUCCUUUACUACCCCAUUACUAUCUUUCAGUUGUUACCUAAGUGUUCUAGUAGCUUCUAAUGCAUACCUUAUGCAUGCACUACUCGUCCCUUACCUAUAGUCCUGAAGGUGUUUAGGACAUCUAUUUUGGAUGGAUCUAGACUCACCUACGUUGCUUAUAAAUGAGAAAACUAAGCGACAAACAAAAUUUAGAUAGAACUAUCAUAUAAGGAGCAAAUAAAUCUCAUGUUAACCUCCACAAAUUACCAACCAAUGCACACAAUUCAAAUAAAUAAAGUUUUAUAGUUUAGGAUCCUAUAGACAAGAUAUCUAGAUGAGCAUGAACAAAAUAUACAACAGCUUUAUUAAAAUGAGCAGCAGUACCUAUCAGUUUGCCUACUAAUUCUUGUUAAUAUUCUGAAUCUGGGCAUGUUUCAAGCAGCAAAAUCAUAGUUUUUUAGACCCGGAAUUCUUAAUUACCCUACAGGCUUGCCUAAGUAAGGACCAGAGCAGAAUACUAUAGGCAUGGUAUCUAAAACUGUUAAUUAACGACUACAGUUUAUAAACCAGUUACUAAUUUUAACAAACAUGCUUUCUAAUUUACAGAAUCAGUUAGCUCCUAUAAACAUGCUUUCUAGGUGUUUGGACUAAUUUACUUAUUUCCUAUAGUUAUGAUACCUGAAUUGCAGAAACUGAUUUUAAAUCUCCUAUAGGCAUGAUUUCUAAAUUGCAAAAACUGAUUUUAAAUUCUCUAUAUGCAUGAUAUCUAAAUUUAAGAAACUGAUUUUAAAUUCCCUAUAGGCGUAAUAUCUAAAUUGCAGAAACUGAUUUUAUAUCUCUUAUAGGCAUGGAAUCUAUAUGGGCAGAGAUGAUAACAAAUUGCCAGGCAAGUUCAGUAAUUUACAAAAAGAAGAUCCUAUAUACAUGAUCUCUAAUGCACAUUGAGAUUGAGAAUAUGCAUAGAACAUGGAUUCUAGAUGCAGAAUUGAUAAAACAACCUAUAAACAGGUAUAUGCAUGAUUUCUAAUGGUAUGCACAUAAAUAAUAACAACCUAUAAACAUAGUUUCUACCCGAACCUGACAAGGAUAUAUAAAAAUCCCUCCCCAGCUUUUACUAAUAACCCCAUAUCUGUUCAUUAAAAGAUUGGAAGACUAACCCCAAUGUGUCAGAGUUCAGAGGAGUCUCAAAGACCCUAGGCAGUACUCACAUUGGGGGUGGUAGGAACCUAAUAACUAAGAGUGAAAGUUUGAAAACUAGUACAUAGAGGGUAAGGGGGAACAAGUUUAGAAAUCAGCAUAUAUAGAACAGUAACAGAACUGCACCAGAAAACAAACAAACUCAUGUUCAGCAUAUAGUUCAACUAAGUUGAUAUUUGUUCAGACUAGAUAUUCAUACCCGCAUUUAAAGUAAUCAUAAAAUCAAAGAUACUUGAACUAACAUACAGAAUUAGACACACAUUACAUGCUUACAAUAUCUAACAAUAGUCAGAAUAUGGAACAUAUAGCUGAAUUGGAUAGGGAACAUAUAGGUGAAAGUAACUUAGUCUAGCAUUAUCACUCAGUGGGAUCAUGUAGUCAUAGAGAAAACAAAACCAUGCUGAAAAUUUAAAUAGACUAAUCGAAUAAGGUAUAUAGAACAGAAUAGAAUAUCAGAGGUUAAGGCAUACCAAUUGAGAAGAAAGAAAGUAAAGAUGCUAUAGCAGUUAAGUUUAAGAACAAUUUGGCCUUGGCUUUCAGUCGGCCAAAUAACAGCCACUUAGUACACAAAUCAGAACAGGAGCAAGAGAGAAAGCUUAAGUUUUUGUAGUGAGAAUAGGAGAGUUCGAGUGUCUUCUAAAGGGGAAAGGGGAAGGGUUUUUAUAGUAUAAAAUUGAGUAAAAUCAAAUAAGGCAAAAAGAUCAGUUAAUCAGUCAAUUAGGGCUAACAGGCAUCAAUUAAUAGGACAGAAUCGAGCAAGUAUCACUUAAUUUAAGGAAAAUAUCCCACGGAAUCAAUCAAUAAUUAAGAAUAAGGUUAAAUAAGGUAAGAACUAAUUCCAAAAUCAAUUUAGGAGUCUGAACGCAAAGUCAAGCCGGUAAUACAGAUAGUUAAUCACAUAAAUAAAGUAAGAACUGGUAAAAUCUUAAUAAAGAAAUACUGGUACUAAAAGGAAAGCUGAUUUCCAAACCCUAAUUUAGGUAAGCAGAAUUAAUUAAUACCUAAUUAACAGAAUCAAAUGUAAACGAGCAAAAGACAAUAGAAUAAAUAGUCAAAGAAUUAAAAACCUAAGAAAUACCAAGACAUAUAGAUAGAGCUUGAUUAAAUCAAGUAAAAAUCAAUCGAAAAAGUAAAAUAGGAAAAUUAGAGAUGAAAACAUUUAACGCUAAAACUUUUUUUUUUUGCAGAAAUCCAUCAGAAAUCAAAACCCUAGCUUUUAGGAUAAAUAAAAUCGAUCGAUAAUAGUAAAAAUAGAAAAUUUUAAGGGAGAAAUACCAUACAAACACAUAAUUGUUUCAUAUCCAAACGGAUUAAACCAGAAAAUAGCUAGAUUCAUAAAAAUAGACAGAAGUGAAUCAAAUCUGGUUUAAACCAAAGAUUUGAAUCCCCAAAAUACGAACAAUACCCGUACUCACAGGUGUCAGAGUGAACAUAGACGGAAUAAUCGAAAAAGGAGAGACUUUGAACUAGAUUUGGUUUGAUUCUCUUGAGAUUCACAUCAAGCAGCAUAAAAAUCGUGUAACCACUAGAGGGGUGAGGUCAGAUAAGGCAUGAAAUCGAAGGAAAACCCCAUGAAUCAAGGGGGAUAUCAGUGACGGCGGGCUAGGGUUAGAGAGGGUGAGAAAGAAGAGAGGAAAGAAUGGAUUCAGAGGCAGCGGGUUUGGAGAAAUGAGGAUAGGGUUAGGAGGUUUAGUUAAUUAAAAAAGGAAGGUGGAUCCUGGACCGUUGAUCUUCUGAGAUCAAUGGCCAGGAUCAAUUCCAGGCUGGGGCGGGUUAUGGACGGGUAGGGUAAUUGGGUUAGGGUAAUUUAAUUUAAUUGUGCUGGGGUGGAAAUUGGGCUAAGGCCCUAAAAUUAAAAGAGGCUAUAUGUUAAAUACCUAAUUAAUUCGAUAAAAUAGUUUAUAAAAAUAGCUAAUAAAUGAUACAAAAUUCUAUCUAUGCAUGAAAAUAAUUUAAAAUAAUUACUUAAUAUCAUAAAAAUAUAAAAAGUCAUUUUCCGUGCAAAUAAUGUAACUAUGCAUAUAUGGACUAUUAUUGCAAAGUUAUUGCAAUUAUAGCCUAAAGGCACAAAUAUAAAUAUGCAUAAAAUUAUUAAAGCUUAAUAUAAAUAUAAAUAAUAAAAAUCAAGUAAUAAAUCAUUAUAAAAUUAUUUGUGAUGCAAUUAGUAAUAAUUUAGAUAAUAAAAUGCUGGAAUAAAUUAAUUAAAAUCCUUUUAAAAGUUACAAAAAAUUAUGAAAAAUACUAGUUGAUGUUAAUGCACUAUUUCGAAUGUAUAUAUGCAUUUAAAAAUAUAUGAGGGAAAAAUUGGGUAUCAACAGCCGCGGGUAAAGAAAUGAUGACCGAUUUUGAUCGAAUGAGGUGUUUCGAAAAUAUAGGCCGCACCCUGAUCUCUGAGUUGGCUACAUAUCCCUGGUUUUACCUGAAUCGGGCUAUGUAUAGUUCUGGACCCAACGGUCAUUGAAUUCUAUAGAAUUGCUAUAGGAAUGGUAGUAUGUUUCGGAAAAAAAGGGUUCUUUUGGGAAGGACAAUAUCAGAUGGGUUUAUGCGGAGUUAUGAUUAUGAGUCUGAAGUGUAACGGGUGUAUCACAUGAUAGGUAUCUGAACGGUCAUGAGGUAAAGGCGAGUAAUUGAUAAGAGUCGGUUAUAUUUGAGAUAACAGCAGACAAUAUGAGUGGAGACCGGAAUGGUAUGAGUGGAAACCGGAAUGGUAUGAGUGGAAAACGAAGUGAAGGUUGCUCCUGUUUGAAGGAUGGUUACCUCCUGGAUUUCCUGCCAAACUUAAAACAUAAUGCAUGUAAAUAUUUAGAUUAUUGCGAGAAUCUAAACAUGAUGCAAAUUCCUUUUAGACCAUGAAGGUUGUCUUUGAACGGAGAGGUUGACGUCCUUAGACCAUGACGUCUUGGUCUAUGAAUCAUGAGAUAGGGGAUUUGCAGGCCAUGAAAUGAUGUUCUCGGGCAAUGAAAAUGAUGCCUUUGAACUAUGACGCCUUUGAACAAUGAUGUGCAGUAUUGAGAGAUCCUCAGGUCAUGACAUGGUGUCUCUAGGCUAUGAGGAUGAUGCUUUCGGACUAUGAUGCCUUCGGAUAAAGACAUGAUGAUGGAUCAUAUAAGAAAACAAGCCAGAGCUUAGUCUUGUAUAGAAUCGGGAUAGAGCUUAGUCCCGAAAAAGGCAAAAUAGCGGUAGGUUUCAUAUAGUGUAACAUUCAACAUUAGACAAGGAAAGGCAGAGCUUAGCCUUAUGCAGUUGGGGAGGUAGGGCUUAGCCUUAUGCAAGGAUAUGAGACAAUGCUUAGUCUCAUGCAGUGGAAGGCAAUGCUUAGACCUAUGCAAAUAUGGAGGCAGGGCUUAGCCUCAUGCAAGAAAGGGAGACAAUGCUUAGUCUCAUGCAAGAAAGGGGAGACAAUGCUUAGUCUUAUGCAAGGGAAGGCAGUGCUUAGCCUUAUGCAAAUAGGGAGGCAGGGCCUAGCCUCAUGCAAGAUUUGAGACAGGUCUUAGUCUCGUGCAAAGAAAAGGCAAUGCUUAGCCUUAUGCAACUAGGGAGGCAGGGCUUAGCCUCAUGCAAGGAGAGGAGACAAUACGUAGUCUCAUGCAGUGGAAGGCAGUUCUUAGCCUUAUGCAAAUAGGGAGGCAGGGACUAUCCUCAUGCAAGAUUUGAGACAGGCUUAGUCUUGUGCAAAGAGAAUGCAAUUCUUAGCCUUAUGCAAAUAGGGAGGCAGAGCUUAGCCUCAUUCAAGGAGAAUGCAAUGCUUAGCCUUAUGCAGUGGAUAAAUAGCAAAUAUGAGCAGAAUAUUUCUUAGUUGGAGAUAUAUUUGCAUUGGGAGUCCGGUUGUUAUAAGGGUAGUGAUUUUAAGGCGCACGUAAUUGUGGUUAUUCCUUGUUCCUGUAUCUAAAGAAAAAUCAUGAGUUUUGUAGGGGAGGUUGGUUCGUGCCUUUGUCUGCUUGUUUCGCUUUGCUCUAAAGGCCCUGUUCGAGUUGCCCUGGGUAACACCUGGCUGUCACAGAAAUAAAAUUUUUAAAAGUGUGCAUUUAUUGAUGAAAUAGAAUCAUUUUGGAAAACAUAGUGGUAUAUAGUACCAAGUAAAUUAGAUGAACUAAUGAUUGUGACUCUUUUAGAGACAUUGCAGCUCUUUUGCAUUAGAAUUUUUAGGGUCCUCCUCCAAAUUCUGCCCCAGUUUGGUGAGUGAUUCUUCGGUCGUUCUGCGUGCAACGAAAUUUGUUGGAUCUGCUCCGGAAUUUUAAGAAUCCUUCUCAAAAUUCUACCCUAGUUACUUAACCAAUUUCUGGCCGUCUUGCAUAUGAUGGCUUCGACUGGACUUGUUCUGGAAUUUUGAGGGUCCUCCACAAAAUUCUGCCCCAGUUUUUGGUACUGGGGAAAUGAAGAUUUAAUUAAGAUGUGACCAAAUCCACAGGGUUGCCUAUGUAUUCCCUCUUAAACGUGAAUCAGGUUAAGCGUAGUUCAGUUACAUCAGAUGAAUGAAUGUAAACAAUCUAAACAUAAUAUCUCUUGACUGCAUCUGAAUUGAUAGGUUUUGGCCAAACUUCUCCGUCCAUUUCUGAAAGUAUGAGCGCUCAUCCUGUUAACACCCGGUGAACCAUGUAAGGACCUUACUAGUUGGGUGAAAAUUUCCCUUUGGCAUCAUCCUGAUACGGGAAGAUCCGCUUCAGCACCAGCUGCCUUGGCGUGAAUUGUCUUGGUCUGACCCUUUUGUUGAAAGCUCUAGACAUUAUAUUCUGAUAAAGCUGACCGUGACAUAUUGCAUUCAUUCUUUUUCCAUCUAUGAGGGCUAGUUGCUCAUAGCGGAUCCUUCUCCAUUCUACAUCACCGUGUUCGGCUUCUUGUAUGAUCCUUAAAGAAGGAAUUUCUACCUCGACUGGAAUGACAGCUUCGGUACCAUAAACCAGUAAAUAGGGAGUUGCCCUCGUUAAUGUGCGAACUGUGUGCGGUACCCCAAUAGGGCAAAGGGUAACUUCUUGUGUCAUUAUUUAUGAUUUUCUACCAUCUUCCUCAUUAUCUUCUUGAUGUUCUUGUUGGCAGCUUUCACAGCUCCGUUCAUUUGAGGCAUAUAUGUUGUAGAGUUUUUGUGCUUGAUUUUGAAGGUCUCACAUAUGGCUUUCAUCAUAUCACUAUUGAGAUUGGCAAUAUUAUCAGUGAUAAUGGACUUGGGAACCCCGAAUCGACAAACAAUACGAUCCUUGACAAAAUCUGUGACGACUUGCUUGGUUACAACUUUGUAAGAUGCAACACCUACCUAUUUUGUGAAAUAGUCGAUAGCCACUAAAAUGAACCGGUGCCCAUUAGAAGCGGUAGGCUCGGUCCGACCGAUGACAUCCAUUCCCCAGGCUGCAAAAGGCCAAGGUGCACUUGUUGUAUUGAGCUCGUUUGGUGGUACCCUUAUCAUGUCUGCAUGUACCUGGCAUUGGUGGCAUUUCUGGAUGUACUAGAUGCAAUCCGUUUCCAUGGUCAUCCAAAAAUAUCCAGUUCUGAGUAUCGUUUUGGCUAUAACAAAACCAUUCAUAUGUGGUCCGCAAGUUUCGGCAUGUAUCUCAUCAAGCAAUCUGGAAGCCUCCUUGUGUCAACACACCUUAACAAUCCCAAAUUAGGAGUUCUUCUAUACAGGGUCCCUCCACUUUGGAAAAAGUGAUUGGACAGCCUCCACAGAGUGUGUUUCUGAGUAUGGUUUGCCUGUUCUGGAUAUUCUUCUUUCACAAAAUAUUUUUUGAUGUCGUGGAACCAAGGUUUUACAUCCGUUUCUUCUUCAACAUGAGCACAAUAAGCCGACUGGUUAUGGAUUUUCAUCGGGAUGGGAUUGAUGGAAUUCUUGUCCGGAUGUUGAAUCAUUGAUGACAAGGUGGCCAGUGCAUCUGCGAAUUCGUUCUGGACUCUUGGAACAUGUCUGAAUUAUAUCUUUGUGAACCUCUUCAUUAAUUCUUGCACAUGAUACAAGUAUGGUAGUAUCUUGGUGUUUUUUCGUAGCCCAUUCUCCUUGAACCUGAUGUACUAGAAGAUCCGAAUCGCCAACUACCAGCAACUCUUGUAUAUUCAUAUCGAUGACCAAAUUGAGCCCUAUGAUGCAAGCCUCAUAUUUUGCCAUAUUGUUGGUGCACGGAAACCUAAGCUUUGUGGAUAUCGGGUAAUGUUGAACUGUUUCUGAUACCAAAACUGCUCCAAUGCCCACUCCUUGAAGUUUGCAGCCCCAUCAAAGAUCAUUCUCCAACCGUCGUAGGCUUCAGCAAUGUCCUCUCCUACGAAUGAUACUUCUUCAUCAGGAAAAUACGUUUUUAAUGGUUCGUAUUCUCCUCCCACAGGAUUUUUAGCAAGAUGGUCUGUCAAUGCUUGUCCUUUAACCGCCUUCUGAGUACAUAGAUGAUAUCGAACUCACUUAACAAUAUCUACUACUUGGCUAACUUCCCGGUUGGCAUGGGCUUAUGAAAGAUGUACUUCAGAGGGUCCAUCCUAGAUAUGAGGUAUGUGGUAUAGGCACAGAAGUAAUGUCUCAGUUUUUGAGUUGUCCAUGUCAAAGCACAACAGGUGCGUUCCAACAGAGAAUAUCAUGCUUCGUAAGGUGUGAACUUCUUACUCAAGUAAUAUAUGGCUUGCUCCUUUCUUCCUGUCUCAUCAUAUUGUCCCAAAACACAUCUGGAAGCCCCAUUUAAUAUGGAUAGAUAGAGAAGCAAAUGUCUCCCAGGUUCUUAUGAGACUAGGGCUGACAGUGUAGACAUGCAUUCCUUAAUUUUGACAAAAGCCUUCUGACAAUCCUUGGUCCAAUUGGUUUCAGCAUCUUUCCUCAACAUUUUGAAUAUGGGUUCACAUAUUACCGUGGACCAUGAUAUGAAGCAACUGAUGUAGUUGAGGCUUCCCAGAAAGAUCAUCAUGUCCUUUUUGCUCUUUGGUGGUGGUAACUCUUGGAUAGUCUUAACUUUGGACGGGUCCAACUCGAUUCCUCGGCAGCUGACAAUGAAUCCCAACAGCUUUCCUGCAGGAACCCCGAAUGCACAUUUUGCAGGGUUCAAUUUUAGAUUGUACCUCCUUAGACUGUCAAAGAACUUUCUCAACAUACAUCUCUAUUUCCUUGUAUAUCAUAUCAUGGAAGAUGGUCAUCAUGGCUCUCAUAUAAGUAGCCCCAGCAUUCUUUAGACCGAAUGGCAUCAUUUUGUAGCAAUACACUCCCCACGGUGUAAUGAAAGUUGUUUUCUCUGCUUCUUCUUCAUCCAUCCAGAUCUGGUGAUAGAAAUCUACAAAGGAUUGGAGUUCAUUCUUGGCACAAUUGUCGAUCUGGAUGUGUAUAUUUGGUAGUGGGAAUUCGUCCUUAGGACUUGCUCUGUUUAAAUGCCGAUAGUCAAUACACACCCUGACUUUCCCAUCUUUAUUCGGAACUGGUACAACGUUGGCUAACCAGGUUGGAUACUCAACUACCCUGAGAACUUUGGAUUUUAUCUGCUUAGUGACUUCCUCUUUAAUUUUUAGGCUCAUAUCUAGUUUGAAUUUUCUGAGUUUCUGCUUCAUCGGCGAACACAUUGGAUUGAUGGACAAUUUAUGAUCCACUAUGGAUGUGCUCAGGCCCGUCAUGUCAUCAUAUGACCAUGCAAAAAUAUCCUCAUAUUCUUUCAGGAAACGAGUGUAUUCUUCCUUCUCUGACGGUGAUAAGUGAAUGCUUAUGCGAGUUUCUUUGACGGUUUCGGAAUCUCCCAAAUUGAUUACUUCGAUUUCGUCCAGAUUGGACUUAGGUUUGUUCUCAAAGUUCUCAACUUCUCUAACAACUUCCUCAGGUAUUUCAUCCUCUUCUUCUGAGUCACUAUCCUUAUAUUGCAUUGUCUCAUUUCAUGUCACAGUUAUCGGUUUAUCAGAAAAAGUAAUAAUAAUGUUGUAGAAGAAAAAUGUGAAAGAUAAUAAUGAAUACUAAAUAAUAAUGAAUUAAUUUAAUUUGAAAAUAUCCAAAACAGGUACGCUUCGAUGACUUGAGCAAUUAUUUCGAAACAAAAUGUGUCUUUAAAACAAAAUUACUGAAAAUAUCUUAAAUGCGUAUCAUGGCUAUUAAAACAAGUCAGGCUAAUUGCCAAGCUACCCAGGAACUCGGCAGGCCUGGGAUAGUGUGGCAGUUCAAUACUUGAGAACAAAUUCCUUCUCCGCAGUCUGAAUGGUGAGGCCUUCUUCCUCCUCCUCCUCAAAUAUCACAUUGCAAUCCAUAUUUUCGUUUUCUAGGAACAAGUUUCUCAACCCAGCCAAAGCUUCUUCCUCUGCAGAUCCCUAUAUUGUAUCUGCCUAGUGAAAAGUUUGACUCGGAUGUGGCACUGGCUGCUCGAGAGGGUAAUAAAGACCACACCAUGGUGGCGACUAAUCAUUAUACUCUUGCCAGGUGUAUGGAUAUCCCAGCCUGAAAGUUGUGCUGUGACGUUUCAACUGUAUUAGUUUGGUAAUGCCAUGGAGUUUCUUCCCAAGCCUUUUGCCGGGUUCAUACCCAGACCAUGCCAGUAUGCUUUUUAUUUUGUUACUCCACCACUUGUCCUUCUCAAUUGCGUUGACAAUGUGGUGAUAAGUCUCUCCACCCAGCCUUCUUCUAUUCUCGACAUUUGGAACAGUUUGACUGGUGUAAAUGGGGUUACUUCCAUCCCCUUGAAUGAUUACCUCCUGAUGGUUCCAUUCGAAUUUCACGGCCUAGUGUAGUGUGGAAGCCACAACCCCAACGACAUAUAUCUAAGGUCGUCCCAAUAGAAGAUUGUAUGUAGAUGAUAUGUCUAGUACUUGGAACUCAACAUCGAACCAAGUUGGUCCCAUCUGCAGGCAAAGGUUAAUCUCUCCAAUCGUGGCCCUUUGAGAUCCAUCAAAUGCUUUCACGUUCAUACUCCCUGCUCGUAUCUCAUGGAAAUAUUUUCCCAACCUUUUUAAAGUAAUAAAUGGACAAAUGUUGAGGCUUAAACCCCCAUCUAUUAAGACCCUGGCGAUGAAUUUGUCCUCAAACCGUACUAUGAUAUGUAAAGCCCUGUUGUGACUUAAUCCUUCAGGUGGUAGUUUAUCUUCGUGGAAGAUGAUCUUGUGAAUUUCUAGUACUUGCCCUACCAUGUUGGUCAUCUCUCCACUAGUGAUAUUGUUGGGCACAUAAUCUUCAUUCAAUACCUUUAUCAGAGCACUCUUAUGCGCCUCCGAAUUUUGCAAUAGCGACGGGAUGGAUAUCUGGGCGGGAGAAUUGUUUAAAUGAUCGACGACAGAGUAAUCUCUCACUUGUACUUUCCCCCAAAUAUCAUCUGGUCUAGUUUCAAUGACAGGAUGUUUGGUAGCAGCCUCCUUGCUUGAUCCUCCCAAAUUUUCGGGUGAAUAGAUCCUUCCAGUUCUGGUCAUUCCCUGUGUAGCACUAGAUUCUUCCAUCUUUGUUUUUCUCUCUCUCCUAGCUUCAACAACAUAAUCCCUAGGUAUGGUGUUGGACUUGAAAGGAGGUAUGGGUGCUCCUAUCACUGUGAAAGGUGUGGCCACUUUACCUUAAAUGGAACAGGUGUGGCUACAGGUGGUGUUACUUCUACCUCAAAUGGAACCGAUGCGGUUACCUCAACCUCAACUGGUGGUUGUACCUGAACCACAAUAGAAUUGAGUGUGACUGUGGGCUUCUUAGGAUCGUCACCCUCUUUGAUAAGUCCAAUUGAUCCCUAGGGAUCCCACUCCUCGUCAGUUUCUAUCACGUUGAUCCCUUUGCCCCUAUGAUCUGGAAGAGGAUUGUUGCGGACGUUGGUUGCAGCUUCCUUCGCCUGUAUGACCUUAUCAUCAAUAAAUUUCUGGAUCUUAUCUUUCAAUGUCCGGCACUAGUCAAUAGUGUGCCCUUUCAUACCGGAAUGAUAUGCACAAGUUUUAUUCGGGUUGACCCAUUGAGAUGAAUUCUCCAUUGCCACAGUAGGAAUAGGGGUAACAUAACCAGCAGCCUUCAACCUUUCGUACAGCUGGUCGAUGGGUUCAACAAUGGCGGUGUACUGUCUGGGUGGUUUACGAUCAAAAUUAGGUCUAGGUUUUUGAUACUUUUGACAGGUUGGAGGCGAAUGAUAAUAGGUUGGUUGGGUGUUAUAAGUGUGGUAGGUGGUGGCAGGUUGGAAAUAUCUGGGAGGUGAGGGUUGGUAUUUAGGUGGAUGUGUUUUGUAUGUGAGUGGAGAUUUUGGGACUUGGGCCACCAUUACUGUCCUUACUUCUUUCUUCUUCGACAUACCACCUGAUUGCAAUGCCUCAAAAUUUGUCACCAUCACGCUUUUAAUACCCUCUUCAAUCCUUUCUCCGAGUUUGAUGAUAUCGAAGAACUUAUGGUUCUCAAUAACUAUUAGCCUUUCAUAAUAUUAUGGGUCUUGUGCCCUGAUAAAGAACUUGUUCAUCUGUUCCUCGUCUAAUGCUAGUCUGACCUUGGAUGCUUCCGACCUCCACCGAGUAGCAUACUCGUGAAAAGUUUCAGUUGGCUUCUUUUUUAGGUUCUGGAUAUAGAAAACAUCCGGUGCAUUCUCUGUAUUAAACCUGAAUCGGUCCAUAAAAUAUGAUGCCACGCUCACCCAACUGGCCCACCUCUUAGGAUUUUGGCUCAUAUACCAGGAUAGGGCAUCUCCGGUAAAACUUCUCAUGAAGAGCAUCAUUCGAAUCCUUUCAUCUUUCCGACCCCCACGAGCUUGUCACAAUAAGUUCUUAGAUGAACCUUGGGAUCACCCGUUCCAUCAAACAUUUCAAACUUGGGAGGUUUGUAACCCUCCGGUAAUUCCAAAUCUGGUUGUAUGCAUAAAACCUCAUAGUUCAUACCUUCUAUCCCUUUACCUCCUUCAACACCCUGAACUCAACUUGUCAACUUCUUGAGCUCCUCGACCAUGUUCUUGAUGAGCAUGUCCUUCUCGGCAAAUUCUGGAGCGUGUGAUGUUGGUUGAGUAGAGUGAGGUAACGUUUCCACGUAUAUGGGAUUGUUUUGGUGGGUGCUAGGGGUUGGAGUGUAGUGGUGAUCGUUGGUGGAGUCUUGAGGAUCGGGAAUAGGUGGUGGUGUGUUCUGAUGAGUGUGAUAGGUAGUGGAUUGUGGGUACUAGGUUGGUUGAUGAUGGUGUUGAGGAGGAAUGGGUACUGGUGGAGGAUUAGGAUUUUGUGGAGGAGUUGCAUAUUGAUGGGGUGCGGGGGGAUUUUGUGGAUGUUGGCUUGGCGUGUUUUGAGGAGGUGCUGGGUUUUGAGCAUUUUGUUGGUUGACGUCUAGGGCUUUUAGGGUGAAGGAGAGGUUUGCUAAGUUGCGGACCUGCACAAGUUCUCCUUGUAACUCCAGUAUUUUCUGCUCCAAUCGUAGGACCAAAUCAUUCUGGGCCAGAGUACUCUGACCGUUUGAAGUUUCAAUAUUCUCAGCAUUUUCUUUUCGGAUACCACUCAAAUCAUCCAUCUUAGCUUUUCCUCUACUUUCGGAUUACUUGAAGAAGGAGGAGGUGGAGGGCCUCUAGAUCUGGUGUGAUAUGCUGAUGAUGCCAGUAUGUGCGAACCAACCUUAGGGGAUGGGAAUAGUAAAAAUAAAGAAAAACAAAAGGUAAACAAGUCAGUAAGGAUUCUAAAAAGCAUUUGUAGGAUUUAAACAUGUAUUGCAGAAACGUAAAUUCGUGUCCUAAUUUGGGGAACCUCGUUGUGCCGGAGGUAGGCCUAGCGACAAAUACAUUUGGAGAAUUUCAGUGCCAAUAAUUGCCUCAUUUCAUUAAUGUAAAAAUAGAUGAAUCUAAUACAACACUAAAUAAGAUAAGCCAUUUAUGGCACUUGGCCUUAUUACAUUUGAAAAAGUAAAUAAACCUAAUCUACUUGGUCCCAGAAUAACCUUCUCCAGGCUUGAUGUUUUUGGCUUCGUCGAUCAAAUUCCCCAAUUCUCGCAGGUUCAGCAAUAGGUAUGCCCUUGCUAAAUGUCCUCCUUCGCUUCCUUCUGCGUUCUGGCAAUUAGUGACUCUCUUCCUCAUUUUCCCACCAAUUCCAUCAAAUUUUACUUCAGAUAUUCCAACCUUUCGCUUGAUCUAACAAACAUCUCCCUCCAUUCAUUAAUUAGUUCCAUAUCGAUCUUGUGUUGCUCCAGAUGUUUGGCCUUGGACUCGUGAACUCUUUUGCGCAGUUUGUUAUAUUUCACUUGCGCUUCGACAACUUCAUCUAUGACUUUGUUCCCUCAACCAAUUCCUAGUUCAACUAUCCCUGCUAAGUUGUCUUCUAACCAUGAUGGAUAGAAGUGCACAUGCCCUGCGUGAUACCGAUCUGGUUUGAUGGUGUCCCUUCCUACAAUGAUCUUCAAGUGCCACAUAUCCUGAGCUUCACAUGUGUAUGGAACGUCGUCAUCCUAAAAAUCUGCCCUAUAGUGACUCAUUUUAGAAACUCGCGGUAUGACCUACUUCUUACCUGCCUAUCUCAUAAGCCUGAUGGGAGAAUAAGAGUAUAUUCCCCUUAACCCGAUCAGUACCAAGUGUAGAACAUCGCUAAAUAUGAUGAUGAACUCGUCGGUAGGGAACCAUUCGAACAUCCAUUGAACUUGAUCCUCGGUCAAAUUACUGAAAAACUGUGCCCAUCCUAUAGCAUUCUCGGGUUGAGCAAACCUGUCUGGGAUAUAGGCUAUUCUCUUAGGAUUAUGGAAAGCUAUGUGAUCAUUCCACGACCUUCGCGGGAGCUCUUGACGGUAUUGACCUCUUUGGAGAUGCUCUAACAACCAAACUUGUAGCAGCAGAUUGCAACCUUCAAAGUAUUUGUACCCUUUGUGACAGUGCUCUAAGGCCUGGUAUAUGUCUGCUAUGAUCAUAGGGACAAUGGUAUACGUUUGCCCCUCGAUCCCAUCCAUCAAAGUUUUGGUUACCAUGGUCAGUCUGGUGUGGAUUUUAUCCCCUUGGAUCAAGAACACUAUCAUACCCAAAAAGCAGACGAUGAACACAAAAACCCUGCGGUGAAUCCAACCCAAGGAAGUGAUGGAGAAUUCGUCAUGAAAAAUACGAUAAGAUCUGAUGUGGUCGUAUCGUUCAUAGAGGAAGUCAAAGGGUAUGUAAGACUUCUUCAGGCAUUCCAAGUCCUCAUUCUUUCUCAGACCCAUCAUUUUUAGAAACCUUUUGGGAGUGCGAUUUUCUGGAACCAAUAAACCAGGACUAUCCCAAGGUAGCCCAGCAAAUCCCCCUAUUUCUUCCAAGAGAGGGGUUAUGUUUCCAAAAUGAAACACGACUCUUUCUUUGUCCUAGAAUAUUGUGGCAGCUUCGAUCAACAUGUUGUUCAGUUGGAGGUCCAGUAGAGAAGGCAAACUUCCCAAGACCCUUUUCACAUGAUUUUUAUCACUUGAUGGAAGAUCCUCCCACCAAUCUAGCAGCAGUGGUGGUAUGUUACGGACCAUGCCAAACCUGGGGACUUUCUGCAAAACAAAUAUGGUUAGGCCAUUUCCCCCUCCAAAUUUUACUAUUUAUACAUCAAUUAUUAGCGUAUUGGCACUUAUUUCUCCAAAAUUAAUGCACAAAAUCAUGGUUUCGUCCGUUGGGAUUAUGGAAACCCUAGUGGACUUUUGGACGAGGCUUGUCUUAAAGGGUUAUUAUGUGGACGACAUAUUAACCCAGCUAGGUUUGACCAUGAUGCAUGUACAAUUAAUUAGAGUAAGAUUUCUAUAGAGGUCUAGACUGGUACCCUCAAGUGGAUAACUUGAAGGGGAAAUGCACGGAACCGUCGACUGCACUGCUGAUCGACUAGUUUUUCCGCAAACAAGCCUUUUUGAAUUUAAAGGGUGAUAUAUAGGAAGGGCGCAAACACUCAUCAAACAUUGCUAUAGGAUUGAUUACGCACGAGUGGAAUAUGAUGUUAAGCAUGAUUUAUGCAACAAUAAAUAGCAUGUUAUCACAUAUUUGCACGUUAAAAAUGAUAAAUGCGGUAUUUAGUAAUUGAAAGACGUUUAAGAAAGAAAACAAGGAGACAAGCCAGUUUCUGUAGUAAAGGAAAUCAUAAAUGCUUGAAAAUAAGCAAUUAAAUAUAUAUAAAGGGGAAAGGGAAAGGGUGCGCACAUAUUUAAUAGAAUAAAGCAUGUUUAAGACUAAUUCACAAAAAGCAAGUUUAUUAUGGCAAGAGCCUAAUUUCCUCAGCAGAGUCGUCAUGCUGUCGUGCCCCAUUUUUCCUCGUGGAGUCCGGGUUUCGACAUUUUGGGAUAACUCCUUUCCUUUUGGGAUUGGGUAAGGGAUUUGAAGAGUCACCACCUAAUGGAUUAAGGUGUGUUAGGGCACCUAGAAUAAUUAACUCAUGAAACCAGUUUACAUCACCAGAGAUUGGGUAAGGGUUCGAAAUUACCUUUAGGUGAAGGUGUUAGGCACUCCUUGAGAUCCACAACGGUGGGUCCCAGCCAAAUUCAAUUAAGCGAAUUAGUCUUAAAGGAAAGUUAAACAAUUUUAAUAAAAUAGAUAAUUACUUUAAAACAAGAAUUAAAGGGGUCAUACGUUUUUUAGUCUAUAGGAUCAUUUCCAUGCAAUACUUGGUAACUUUUCCCAAAUUUGGGUGUUACACAUAGCAUUAGCGCACAGGUCAUCAUAUCCUUUACUACCCCAUUACUAUCUUUCAGUUGUUACCUAAGCAUUCUAAUAGCUUCUAAUGCAUACCUUAUGCGUCCAUUACCCAUCCCUCACCUAUAGUCCUGGAAGUGUUUAGGACGUCUAUUUUGGAUGGAUCUAGACUCACCUACGCUGCUUAAAAAUGAGAAAACCAAGUGACAAACAAAAUUCAGAUAGGACUAUCAGAUAAGGAGCAAAUAAGGCUCAUGUUAACCUCCACAAAUAACCAACCAAUGCACACAAUUCAAACAAACAAAGUUUUAUAGUUUAGGAUCCUAUAGACAAGAUAUCUAGAUGAGCAUGAACAGAAUAUAUAACAGCUUUAUUAAAGCGAGCAGCAGUACCUAUCAAUUUGCCUACUGAUUCUUGUUAAUAUUCUGAAUCUGGGCAUGUUUCAAGCAUCAAAAUCAUAGUUUUUUUAGACCCAUAAUUCUUAAUUACCCUACAAGCUUGCCUAAGUGAGGACCAGAGAAGAAUCCUAUAGGCAUGGAAUCUAAAACUAUUUAUUAACGACUAUAGUUUAUAAACUAAUUACUAAUUUUAACAAACAUGCUUUCUAAUUUACAGAGUCAGUUAACUCCUAUAAACAUGAUUUCUAGGUGUUGGGACUGAUUUACUUAUUUCUAUAGUCAUGAUACCUGAAUUGCAGAAACUGAUUUUAAAUCUCCUAUAUGCAUGAUAUCUAAAUUGCAGAAACUAAUUUUAAGUUCUCUAUAUGCAUGAUAUCUAAAUUGCAGAAACUGAUUUUAAAUUCCCUAUAGGCAUAAUAUCUAAAUUGCAGAAACUAAUUUUUAAAUCUCCUAUAGGCAUGAAAUCUAUGUGGUCAGAGCCGUUAACAAAUUGCCAGGCAAGUUCAGUAGUUUACACAAAGAAUAUCCUAUAGACAUGAUCUCUAAUUUACAUUGAGAUUGAGAAUAUAUGCAUAGAACAUGGAUUCUUGAUGUAGAAUUGAUAAAACAACCUAUAAACAGGAUUUCUAAGAUGCCAAGAAUGGAACUCCAAAUUUCAAACAGUGGGAUAAGAUCUUAUAGGCAUGAUUUCUAAUGGUAUGCACAUAAAGAAUGACAAUCUACAGACAUGGAUUCUACCCGAACCUGACAAGGAUAUAAAAAAAACCUCCCCAGCUUUUACUAAUAACCCAUAUCUGUUCCUUAUAGAGAUUAUUAUAGCCCAGAAUAAAUUAUAUAAAAGUAGCUAUUACACUAUAGGAAGCUUUAGCAGGCCCAGUAUGAACCUGGGAACUAGGCCUUCAAACAUAACAACUUUGGAGCAUAAUGGUAAUCCAUCCAUUGCAUAUAAAAUUGGGCUCCUGGUGUGUCAAAGUUCCCAAGGGCCUCAGGGAUCCCGGGCAAUGCUCACACCAGGACCACACUCAGAGAAACAGUCCAUAAAAAGAUUGGAAGACUAACCCCAAUGUGUCAGAGUUCAGAGGAGUCUCAAAGACCCUAAGCAGUGCUCACACUGGGGGUGGUAGGAACCUAAAUAACUAAGAGUGGAAGUUUGAAAACUAGUACAUAGAGGGUAAGGGGUAAUAGGUUUAGAAAUCAUCACAUACAGAACAGUAACAGAACUGCACCAAAAAAUAAACAAACUCAUGUUCAACAUAUAGCUCAACUAAGCUGAUAUUUGUUCAGACUAAAUACUCAUAACAGCAUUUAAAGUAAUCAUAAAAGCAAAGAUACUUGAACUAACAUAUAGAAUUAACCACACAUUACAUGCUUAAAAUAUCUAACAAUAGUCAGAAUAGGGAACAUAUAGCUGAAUUGGACAAGGAACAUAUAGCUGAAAGUAACUUAGUCUAGCAUUAUCACUGAGUGGGAUCAUGUAGUCAUAGAGAAAACAAAACCAUGCUGAAAAUUUAAAUAGACUAAUUGAAUAAGGCAUAUAAAACAGAAUAGAAUAUCAGGGGUUAAGGUAUACCAGUUGAGAAGAAAGAAAGCAAAGAUUCAGUAGCAGUUAAGUUCCAGAACAAUUUGGCCUUGGCUUUCAGUCGGCCAAAUAAUAGCCACUUAGUACAGAAAUUAGAACAGGAGCAAGAGAGAAAGCUUAAGUUUUUUGUAGUGAGAAUAUGAGAGUUCAAGUGUCUUCUAAAGGGGUAAAGGGGAAGGAUUUUUAUAGCAUACAAUAGUGUAAAACCAAAUAAGGCAGGAGAAUCAAUGGCACACAAAUAAGGCAAAAAGAUCAGUUAAUCAGUCAAUUAGGGCUAACAAAAAUUAAUUAAUUAAUAGGAUAGAAUCGAGCAAAUACCACUUAAUUUAAGGAAAAUCUCAUACAGAAUCAAUCAAUAAUUAAGAAUAAGGUUAAAUAAGGUAAGAAAUAAUUCCAAAAUCAAUUUAGGAGUCAGAAAGCAAAGUCAAGCGGGUAAUACGGAUAGUUAAUCACAUAAAUAAAGUAAGAACUGGUAAAAUCUUAAAAAAGAAAUAAUGGUACUAAAAGGAAAGGUGAUUUACAAACCCUAAUUUAGGUAAGUAGAAUUAAUUAACACCUAAUUAACAGAAUCAAAUGUAAACAGGCAAAAGACAAUAGAAUAAAUAGGCAAAGAAUCAAAACCCUAAGAAAUACCAAGACAUAUAGAUGGAUCUUGAUUAAAUCAAGUAAAAAUCAGUCGAAAAGUAAAAUAGGAAAAUUAGAGAUGAAAUCAUUUAAACGCUAAUUUUUUUUUUUUGCAGAAAUCUAUUAGAAAUUAAAAACCUACCUUUUAAGAUAAAUUAAAUCGAUCAAUAAUAGUAAAAAUAGAAAAUUUUAAGGGAGAAAUACCAGACAAACACAUAAUCAUUUCAGAUCUAAAGAGAUCUAAACAGAUUCAACCAAAAAAUAGAUAGAUUCAUAAAAAUAGACAGAAGCGAAUCAAAUCUGGUUUGAACCAAAGAUUUGAAUCCCCAAAAAUACGAACAAUACCUGUACUCAUAGGUAUCGGAGUGAACAUAGACGGAAUAAUCGAGAAAGAAGAGACUUUGAACCAGAUUUGGUUCGAGUCUCUUGAAAUUCACAUCAAGCAGCAUAGAAAUCGUGUAAUCAGUAGAGGGGUGAGGCCAGAUAACGCAUGAAAUUGAAGGAAAACCCCAUGGAUCAAGGGGGAUAUCAGUGACGGCGGGCUAGGGUUAGAGGGGGUGAGAAAGAAGAGAGGAAAGAAGGGAUUCAGAGGUGAUGGGUUUGGGGGAAAUUAGGUAGGGUUAGGAGAUU